rnacentral:lncRNA from 1 species
UUUGAGUGAUAAAUUAGUAUAUAAAUAUUCUACAUAUUUUUGUUUUACACAUUAAGAUUUUGAAAAUCCUUACUUGUUAUCAGCUUGUUGCUUAUCGAACUAUCUACUAAAGAGCCGAUAUGUGCCUCAAGAAAAGUUCUACUGAGGUUGGUCGAGGCCUUCCUUGCCCUUUUCAGAGCUUCUAUAGUUUCUGGAAAAAAAAAAUAGUUAACUAUAAUAAAAGUAUAAAUCAUUUAAUUAAUAAGUAUAAAUUAAUUUAAUCACUUGUUAAUAGAGAGCACAUUACCAGAUACCGCUAUAAUUCUAUCAUGGAUUCUCUUCCGCCACAUGCGUCGAACACCAACCUGUGCUCGGACAGAUUGCGGCAAUAAUUCUAAAUUCUUCGUCUGCAAUGCAUGUUAUACGAUUGAAUACUUAAUAAACAUAAGAAAUAAAAAAAAAAAAUCAAGAAUUUUCAGUCUACGUCCCAACACCAAAG